GAUGAACGCUGGCGGCGUGCCUAAUACAUGCAAGUCGAGCGAACGGACGAGAAGCUUGCUUCUCUGAUGUUAGCGGCGGACGGGUGAGUAACACGUGGAUAACCUACCUAUAAGACUGGGAUAACUUCGGGAAACCGGAGCUAAUACCGGAUAAUAUUUUGAACCGCAUGGUUCAAAAGUGAAAGACGGUCUUGCUGUCACUUAUAGAUGGAUCCGCGCUGCUUUAGCUAGUUGGUAAGGUAACGGCUUACCAAGGCAACGAUGCAUAGCCGACCUGAGAGGGUGAUCGGCCACACUGGAACUGAGACACGGUCCAGACUCCUACGGGAGGCAGCAGUAGGGAAUCUUCCGCAAUGGGCGAAAGCCUGACGGAGCAACGCCGCGUGAGUGAUGAAGGUCUUCGGAUCGUAAAACUCUGUUAUUAGGGAAGAACAUAUGUGUAAGUAACUGUGCACAUCUUGACGGUACCUAAUCAGAAAGCCACGGCUAACUACGUG
rnacentral:rRNA from 1 species